rnacentral:lncRNA from 1 species
UCGGAACCUAUGGCCGCGCGUGGGCAGGAGAGAGGGCACCGCAGCUCAUCCGGCCUUUUUCUCUCCCGGAACCACACCGGCUACAGGGACUACACCUUGUCCCCGCCUGCCCAAGCUGGUAUCAGGAUUCACCUGUCCCCAGGCCUUUGGAUCUCCUGCCCUUAAGCGGCUUUAGCUCUCUUCUCAGUUUCUCUCCUGCACCAACUUAGAUUGAGGUACUGGCAUUGCAGACAUACACCCCAGCACCCGGCCUUUCGCAUGCUAGACAAGCAUUCUACCGAGCCAGCUAACCACCCAGACGAUCUCUUUAUGUUUUGUAUAAACUCAAGCAACACUGGAGACCAUGUACCCUGGAAAAUAAGAACUCCAGGGCUGGGGGCUGGGGGAUCGAGCUGUGCAAGACUGGAGCGUCCAUGCUGGUGCUGAAGUCGACCUCAGCAGCAUCUGCAGGGAGGACCCUGGGGUCUCCUGAAACGCAGCUUACAAACAGUACAGGCACUGGUGAGAGUUACAUUUAUAAACUCUCAAAAAAAAUGGAAAAAAUACAAACUAGGUCAUGACU